AAAAACAUGUCUUUUUGUUUAUGAUUUAAGGUUUGGCCUGCCCAAUGAUUAUUUAAUGGCUGCAGUAUUUUGACUGUACAAAGGUAGCAUAAUCAUUAKUUUCUUAAUUAGGAGCUGGAAUGAACGGUUUGAUGAGAAAUUUACUGUCUCAAUUUAAUUGUUUUAGAAUUUUAUUUUUAAGUGAAAAAGCUUAAAUUUUUUAAGAAGACGAGAAGACCCUAUAGAGUUUUACACGGUAUUAAUUUAUUUUUUAUGGUUUUAUUAUUUUUUAUUUUUUAUUGUGUUUUGUUGGGGUGAUGCGAAAAUUUUUCUAACUUUUCUUAAUUUUUACACUAGUAGUGAUUUGAUGAUCCUUCUGGAUUAUAAGAUUAAAUUACCUUAGGGAUAACAGCGUAAUUUUUUUUAAAAGCUCUUAUUGACAAAAAAGUUUGCGACCUCGAUGUUGGAUUAAAGUUUAUUUUUGGUGUAGAAGCUAGGAAAUUGGGUCUGAUCGACC
rnacentral:rRNA from 1 species